GACGAACGCUGGCGGCGUGCCUAAUACAUGCAAGUCGAACGAGAGCGACCGGUGCUUGCACUGGUCAAUCUAGUGGCGAACGGGUGAGUAACACGUGGGUAACCUGCCCAUCAGAGGGGGAUAACAUCCGGAAACGGAUGCUAAAACCGCAUAGGUCUUCGAGCCGCAUGGCUUGAAGAGGAAAAGAGGCGCGAGCUUCUGCUGAUGGAUGGACCCGCGGUGCAUUAGCUAGUUGGUGAGGUAACGGCUCACCAAGGCCGUGAUGCAUAGCCGACCUGAGAGGGUGAUCGGCCACAUUGGGACUGAGACACGGCCCAAACUCCUACGGGAGGCAGCAGUAGGGAAUCUUCCGCAAUGGACGCAAGUCUGACGGAGCAACGCCGCGUGAGUGAAGAAGGUGUUCGGAUCGUAAAACUCUGUUGUUAGAGAAGAACAAGUGCUAGAGUAACUGUUAGCGCCUUGACGGUAUCUAACCAGAAAGCCACGGCUAACUACGUG
rnacentral:rRNA from 1 species